rnacentral:rRNA from 1 species
CUACGUAAGGGGCGAGCGUUGUCCGGAUUCACUGGGCGUAAAGGGCGCGUAGGCGGCGAUACAAGUCAGAGGUGAAAGCUAUGGGCUCAACCCAUAAACGGCCUUUGAAACUGUAUUGCUUGAGUAUUGCAGAGGAAAGCGGAAUUCAUGGUGUAGCGGUGAAAUGCGUAGAUAUCAUGGAGAACACCUAUGGCGAAGGCAGCUUUCUGGGCAAAUACUGACGCUGAGGCGCGAAAGCUAGGGUAGCGAACAGGAUUAGAAACCCUAGUAGUCC